GUGUCAGCAGCCGCGGUAACACGUAGGGGGCAAGCGUUGUCCGGAUUUAUUGGGCGUAAAGAGCUCGUAGGUGGUUCAGUAAGUCGGGUGUGAAACCUCCAGGCUCAACCUGGAGACGCCACCCGAUACUGCUGUGACUAGAGUCCAGUAGGGGAGCGUGGAAUUCCUGGUGUAGCGGUGAAAUGCGCAGAUAUCAGGAGGAACACCAGUGGCGAAGGCGGCGCUCUGGGCUGGAACUGACACUGAGGAGCGAAAGCGUGGGGAGCAAACAGGAUUAGAAACCCUAGUAGUCC
rnacentral:rRNA from 1 species